AUACGUAGGGGGCGAGCGUUGUCCGGAAUGAUUGGGCGUAAAGGGCGCGUAGGCGGCCCGGUAAGUCUGGAGUGAAAGUCCUGCUUUUAAGGUGGGAAUUGCUUUGGAUACUGUCGGGCUUGAGUGCAGGAGAGGUAAGUGGAAUUCCCAGUGUAGCGGUGAAAUGCGUAGAGAUUGGGAGGAACACCAGUGGCGAAGGCGACUUACUGGACUGUAACUGACGCUGAGGCGCGAAAGUGUGGGGAGCAAACAGGAUUAGAUACCCUGGUAGUCCACACUGUAAACGAUGAAUACUAGGUGUAGGGGGUAUCGACUCCCUCUGUGCCGCAGUUAACACAAUAAGUAUUCCGCCUGGGGAGUACGGCCGCAAGGUUGAAACUCAAAGGAAUUGACGGGG
rnacentral:rRNA from 1 species